AAAAAAAAAAAAAAUCUCAGGAAUUGAACUGAACGAGUCUCAGAAAUGGCAUCGAAAAGUAAGAUUCUAUUCAUCGGCGGGACAGGGUAUAUCGGUAAAUUCACUGUCGAAGCGAGCGUAAAAGCCGGCCACCCGACGUUCGUGCUCGUGAGAGAAUCCACAAUCUCUGGUCCUUCCAAAUCUCAACUCCUCGAUCACUUCAAAAACCUCGGCGUCAAUCUCGUCAUAGUGCGUUUUCAUUUUUCUCUUUUCUUAAUUUUUUAUUCCGAUCAUUUUUACACGUAGAAGUGUAGCAUCUACUACUUAAUAUACAUAAUGAUAUUAUUAUUUUUUAAUUUUUUUUGGUUGCUGUUAUUAUUAUGCAGGGAGAUGUGUUGAAUCACGAGAGUUUGGUGAAGGCGAUUAAACAAGUGGACGUGGUGAUAUCAACGGUCGGUCACACUUUAUUAGCUGAUCAGGUCAAGAUUAUUGCUGCCAUUAAAGAAGCCGGUAACGUUAAGGUAUAGCAUAAUUAAUAUUGUCAAUAAAAUUAAAAUAAUUAAUUAUAAACCAAUGGCAUGGACUCAAUUAAUUAAUUGAUGUUGAAUGUGAUUAUUAUUAUCCAGAGAUUCUUCCCUUCUGAAUUUGGAAAUGACAUUGAUCGAGUCCACGCCGUUGAGCCAGCAAAGUCUUUAUUUGCCAUAAAGGCGAAAAUCCGCCGAGCCGUUGAGGCUGAAGGCAUUCCGUAUACUUACGUAGCAUCGAAUCUCUUUGCUGGCUACUUCCUUCCCAAUUUGUCGCAGCCUGGGGCCACUGCCCCACCUAGGUAUAAAGUUGUCAUCUUAGGCGAUGGAAAUCCAAAAGGUAUGAAUUUAGGUCAUUGCUUAUAGCAAGACUGUUGAAAUAACCAUGAUUAAGGCUCCGUUUGUUACUACGGUGUUAAUUUUAUGGCCUAAAACUGCUGUACAAUGGAAGGUGUAGCAACCUAACUUACGCUCUGUUCGGUGUGGUUGUUGCAUAGCUGUAACUUAAAGUUAACUGCAAAAGUGUUUGAUGAAUAUUUGCAGACUUAACUUUAAACCGAGAUGAUUUUAUCCAACAUUUGUCUGAUUAAAACUUAUGAUCCCUAAGAAGUUUGUCAAAAUAUAUAUAUAUAUAUAUAUAUUCAACUUUGGAUAGACUUUUAAAUAAUGACCAAACACUUUAGCUGUUAAAUUGCCACAUCACAGCUGCAACACAAUAAUUCCAAACGUCUUCAUUGCAAAAUAGUUGAAUGAAUCUAAAUCCACUGGCUUCGUCAUUUGAUUUUCAGCGAUCUAUAACGAGGAAAAUGAUAUUGGAACCUACACCAUCAAAGCGGUUGAUGAUCCGAGAACCUUGAACAAAAUCCUUUACAUUAAACCCCCUGGUAAUAUUUACUCAUUCAAUGAUCUUGUGUCCUUGUGGGAGAGAAAGAUUGGCAAAACCCUCGAUAGGGUGUACGUUCCAGAGGAGCAAGUCCUAAAGAAUAUUCAGGGUUAGCUAUAAUUCUUACUGUUUGAGGGAAAAGUAGGAAAGAUAAUAGAGCGCCACGUGUCAGCCAAUGGAAUGAUAUCAGCACAAUCGGAGGUACCCUGCAUAAUCCGAGGUGCCCGGCAUGACUUGAGGUACCCCGUAUAAAUAGAGGUACCCAUGGAAUGAUACCCCGCAUAAACUGGGGUACCCCGUAUAAUUUGAGGUACCCGGAAUAACUCCAGCAUAAUUCAAGGUACCCAGAAUAACUCCAACAUAAUUCAAAGUACUCGGAAUAACUCGAGGUACCCAGCAUGAUUAGAGGUACCCGGCGUGAUUAGAGGUACCCGGCGUAAUUAGAGGUACCUGGACCCCAUAUGAUAUGAGGUACUAAUCCGAGGUACCCAGCAUAAUUUAAGGUAUCCCGGACAAAUAGAGGUACCCGACAUUAUAAGAGGUACCCGACAUUAUAAGAGAUACCCUGCACAAUCCGAGGUACUCGGCGUGAUUUGAGGUACCCCGAACAAUUAGAGGUACCCCACACAAAUAGAAGUACCUCGUACAAUUAGGGGUACCCCGUAUAAAUUGAUGAGAAACGUCUCCGCCUCCUAACCCGGCAGAUCAGAUGCAAGAGAACCCUCUGAAAAUAUCCGCCGUGAGAAACGUCUCCAUCUCUUAAAAGAUAUUAUUCGAUUUUGUCAGAAUUAUGAAUCAAGAACGUCGUACCAAAAAGGGGGGACAACCGCCUGCUACCUCUGCCAAAAGUGAAGGACACUGUCCCAACAAAUAACGGCCCAAAAACAAUUCCCGACAGCUACUGCAGAGGUACCCUGGACCACUCUCCAGCGCGCGCCACGUUUCCAAAAGAUGAGAUACGCCGCGAACAUGCAAAUAACGGCCCAAAAACAAUUAUAAAGAGGUAAAAGGACGUUAGCCAAAAAGGGUAUGCCACGUGGCAGCUGAGGUACUCCAUAUAUAAAGGUGCCUAGGUUUCAUUCUAGGGCAUGUUCUCACUCACCAUUAACACUCACACUCCGAAAAUAGAGGUUUUCACACAAUAAACCAGUGAGGUACCCCAUCUCCCCUCAAAAUAACAAAUUUAUUGUUCUAGAUUGGUUUGGUUUUUCUUACCCCAAAAUCAGUUGAAAACAAUUGGCGCCGUCUGUGGGGAAGUCGCACAAAAAGCCUCCACCGAGUUACCAAACUAGUUGUUGUGUGCACUCUAAUACAUGGCACCCGACGUACCUCCCGAAGGUUUAAUGGGGGAUCCUACAAGGAUGAGAGAUGACAGCAGCAAUGAAGGUAGUGAUCUCGCAAGAAGGGUAGCCCGCAUCAGUAAGGGCAAGGGUAUCAAGCAAUCGACGGGUGUUCGCUAAGAUGAGGAACCUAUUUCUCACAAGUGUUUCGAGGAUCUUGCCCACACAAUACUUAGGGCUGUUGGAUCUCGGGCACUCGAAAGUUCACUUCCACCAGUGACGCUAGAUGCUCCACCACCUCAAACGGACGACCAAGCUAUGGUCAGAAAAGAGGUACCCGAGGCCAGCAAGCGAAAGCAUAGGCCAUCGGGUACCCGUUCUAAGUUUCAAACCGUGGGCUCCCGCGACGAGCGUUCCACCGCCUCUUGCAAUUCCCGCAGCAGCCAGGGUGCGAGGCGUGUAAAGCAUACCCACGAGGAUUUCCGUGAGAAGUUAAACACUAAAAGGGCUUUUCAAAUGGCGGCGACAUUAUCGGGUACACUGAGUGUACCCCUCGAACUUGUGGAAAAAAUGGAGAACCUAGAAGCCCAAAUGAAGCUCCUCUCCGAGAAACAAAACAUCACAGCUGCUCCAAUGCCAAUGACCUACCAAUCGCCAUUCACUAUGGAGAUUCGGACGGCAGCUCUCCCCGAGGCGUUCGCUAUGCCUCAGAUACCUCAAUACUCGGGUACCACUGAUCCCUCGGAGCAUGCUGAGCUAUACCGCGACCAAAUGCUUAUCAAGGGUGUAGAUCAGAGCGCCAUGUGUAGGAUGUUUACACACACACUCACGGGCCCCGUGAAGUCAUGGUUUCGCUCUUUGAAAACGGGUAACAUAUCUUCCCUACACCAAUUGUUAUCCGAAUUUACUAAAGAAUUUUCCUAUGCUUCCACACCAUUCACUAUGGAGAUUAGGACGGCAGCUCUCCCCGAGGCGUUCGCCAUGCCUCAGAUACCCCAAUACUCGGGUACCACUGAUCCCUCGGAGCAUGCUGAGUUAUACCGCGACCAAAUGCUUAUCAAGGGUGUAGAUGAGAGCGCCAUGUGUAGGAUGUUUACCCACACACUCACGGGCCCCGCGAAGUCAUGGUUUCGCUCUUUGAAAGCGGGUAGCAUAUCUUCCCUACACCAAUUGCUAUCCGAAUUUACUAAAGAGUUUUCCUAUGCAUCCACUCAAGAUAGGGUAGCCUCCAAACUUGCCUUUAUCAAGCAAGGGGAAGCCGAGCCUUUGGCGGAGUAUGUGAGUCGUUUCCACCAAGAGGUGCUGCGAACCGGAGCAUUUGGAAACCAAUACACAUUGACCCAUUUUGAGAAAAAUUUGAGGUUGGGCAAGUUAUGGCGUUCUUUUCAAAAGAAGCGCCCACUUUCAUAUGGGGAAGCCCGUUCUCGGGCGUUGCAGCAAGUGGAGAUGGACGAAAAAUGCCAAUUGAAGCGCCAAGAAGAUAAGGUCGAUGUUACAAAGAAUAAGGAGAAGCCCAAGAGAGUGGAGGCCCCAAUACCUAGGGUACCCCGAGCACGGAGCCCUCCACGGGUGCCCCAAUACCACGGGUACCCCGACCACGGAGCCCUCCACGGGCUGCCCCGCGGGGACGAGGGUAUAACCCUCAGGGUACCUCAAGGGUACCCCAACCUCCAAGAUCGCCACCACCGGAUCAGCGAGAGCCACCACCAAGGCCUCGGUACGAGUCUUACCACCCACUGAAUCGAUCUCCAGAGCAGAUAUUCUAUCAUAUUCGGGAUAGCGGCCUCCUCCGUCCUCCUAAGCCAAUGAAGAAGUACCCCAACAUGAAGCGUAGCCUGAAGUAUUGCGGGUUCCAUGAGGACUUUGGUCACAGCACAGCCGAGUGCUUCACCUUGCGAGAGGAAAUUGAAUCUUUGAUUCUCAGCGGGUACCUCAAAGAAUUUGUUGCUGGCAUGAGAGAAGCUCGGAAAUCUGCGGAUACCUCCCGAAAGUUUAAUGGCGGAUCCUACAAGGAUGAGAGAUGACAGCAGCAGUGAAGGUAGUGAUCCCGCAAGAAGGGUAGCCCGCAUCAGCAAGGGCAAGGGUAUCAAGCAAUCGACGGGUGUUCACCAAGAAGAAGAACCUAUUUCGCACAAGCGUUUUGAGGAUCUUGCCCACGCAAUACUUAGGGCGGUCGGAUCUCAGGCACCCGAAAGUUCACUUCCACUAGUGACGCUAGAAGCUCCACCACCUCAAACGGACGACCAAGCUAUGGUCAGAAGAGGGGUACCCGAGGCCAGCAAGCCAAAGCCUAGGCCAUCGGGUACCCGCUCUAAAUUUCAAACCAUGGACUCCCGCAACGAGCGUUCCACCGCCUCUUGCAAUUCCCGCAGCAGCCAGGGUACGAGGCGUGCAAAGCGUACCCACAAGGAUCUCCGUGAGAAGUUAAACGCCAAAAGGGCUUCUCAAAUGGCGGCGACAUCAUCGGGUACACCGAGGGUACCCCUCGAACUUGUGGAAAAGAUGGAGAACCUGGAAGCCCAAGUGAAGCUCCUCUCCGAGAAGCAAAACAUCACAACUGCACCAACACCAAUGACCUACCAAUCGUCAUUCACUAUGGAGAUUAGGACGGCAGCUCUCCCCGAGGCUUUCGCCAAGCCUCAGAUACCCCAAUACUCAAGUACCACUGAUCCCUCGGAGCAUGCUGAGCUAUACCGCGACCAAAUGCUUAUCAAUGGUGUAGAUGAGAGCGCCAUGUGUAUAAUGUUUACACACACACUCACGGGCCCCGCGAAGUCGUGGUUUCGUUCUUUGAAAGCGGGUAGCAUAUCUUCCCUACACCAAUUGUUAUCUGAAUUUACUAAAGAGUUUUCCUACGCCUCCACUCAAGAUAGGGUAGCCUCCAAGCUGGCCUUUAUCCAGCAAGGGGAAGCCGAGCCUUUGGCGGAAUACAUGAGUUGUUUCCACCAAGAGGUGCUGCGAACCGGAGCAUUUGGAAACCAAUACACAUUGACCCAUUUUGAGAAAAAUUUACGGUUGGGCAAGUUAUGGCGUUCUUUUCAAAAGAAGCGCCCUCUUUCAUAUGGGGAAGCCCGUUCCCGGGCGUUGCAGCAAGUGGAGAUAGACGAGAAAUGUCAAUUGAAGCGCCAAGAAGAUAGGGCCGAUGUUACAAAGAACAAGGAAAAGCCCAAAAGGAUGGAGGCCCCAAUACCACGGGUACCCCGACCACGGAGCCCUCCACGGGCUGCCCCGCGGGGACGAGGGUAUAACCCUCAGGGUACCUCAAGGGUACCCCAACCUCCAAGAUCGCCACCACCGGAUCAGCGAGAGCCACCACCAAGGCCUCGGUACGAGUCUUACCACCCACUGAAUCGAUCUCCAGAGCAGAUAUUCUAUCAUAUUCGGGAUAGCGGCCUCCUCCGUCCUCCUAAGCCAAUGAAGAAGUACCCCAACAUGAAGCGUAGCCUGAAGUAUUGCGAGUUCCAUGAGGACUUUGGUCACAGCACAGCCGAGUGCUUCACCUUGCGAGAGGAAAUUGAAUCUUUGAUUCUCAGCGGGUACCUCAAAGAAUUUGUUACUGGCAUGAGAGAAGCUCGGAAAUCUGCGGAGCAGGAUAAGGGCAAGCGGGUAGCUGAUGGUAGCCUAAAGGCAAACGGGUAGCUGAUGGCAGUCCCGAACGAGAGGUACCCCCUGGACACAAGAAAGGCGUGUAUGUCCGAAUGAUCAUGGGCGGACCGACUUUAGUGGGCCAAUCUAGGAGGGCUAUCAAAGGCUAUGGUAGAUCGUUGUCGAUAACCACCAAUAUGGGCAAAGAAGUCAACCUUAAUGAAUGGGAUACACCGAAGGUACCCCGCCAUCCCCCGCCUAUCCUUUUUACAGAAAAAGAUGCGGAGGGCAUCUCGUACCCCCAUGACGAUGCCUUCAUAAUUACGUUGAAGGUUGCCACUGGUAAGGUAGUAAGAACUCUCGUAGAUACCGGCAGCUCCGUUGACAUCAUUUUCAAAAGCGCCUUGGAUCAACUAUUGAUUGAGUCGCCAAAGAUCACCCCAUAUGCUACGCCUCUUAUUGGGUUUGCCGGAGAUAUGGUUAUACCAAAAGGCAUCAUUACGCUCCCCGUUACACUUGGUAAGUUACCUCACCGUGUUGUUUAUAUGAUUGAUUUUCUUAUUGUAGAUUGCCUGGGUGCCUACAAUAUUAUAUUGGGCAGGCCGUUUUUAGUAGCAACUAAAGCGGUGGUAUCCAUGCACUACCUCGCCAUGAAAGUCCCGGCCGCCCAAGAAGUGAUCACCAUUAAAGGGGACCAGCAAUCGGCUCGUGGAUGUUACUCCGUGGCCUCCAAAGUCACUUACCAAAUAACUUCUGAUUCGCCAACGAAUGGGUACCCCAGUGGCAGCCAGCCUACACCUUAUCCCUCAAGGAGAGCGCUCGCCAGACGACGGAGAGCGGUACUCAAAAAAUCUCCCCAGGUAGCCCACCCACGAGAGCAGUUGGAAUCCUCACCAAUGAGUGUAGAAGUAGUUGCGGGGGAUAGCUCGAGGGUACCCCAUGGGGACCAAGUGGAGCCCAUGUGUGAAGUUGAGGCACCAUUGGAUCCCCGAAUAUUGAAGGAUGAAAAAAGGGGUACCCCAGUUGAAGAUCUUAUUUCAGUCUCGAUUUGCACCACCGACCCAACAAAGAUAGUGAAAGUAGGUUCCAACCUCUCGGAGGAACAAAGAGAGAAACUCAUCACCUUCCUACGUGAGCACCACGAUGUAUUCGCUUGGUCCCACUCGGAUAUGCCGGGUAUCCCACCUUCUCUCUCUUGUCACAAACUCAAUGUCAGCCUACAUAAUAAACCGGUCAAACAGAAGCGUCGCGCCUUCAACCAAGAGAGGUACGAUGCAAUUGAACAAGAGGUAGACCGCCUAUUAGCAGCAAGGUUUAUCCGAGAAGCAGUGUACCCCGAUUGGGUAUCCAACGUUGUUCUAGUCAAGAAAUCAAACGGAAAGUGGCGCAUGUGCGUGGACUUCACUGAUUUGAACAAGUCCUGCCCCCAGGAUAGCUUUUAGCUUCCCCGGGUGGACCAGCUGGUUGAUGCAACAACGAGAUGCUUAGUUUUAUGGACGCCUUCUCCGGGUACAACCAAAUUCCGAUGUAUGAACCCGAUCAAGAGAAAACGGCUUUCAUCACCAACCGUGGAUUAUACUGUUAUAAGGUUAUGCCGUUCGAUUUGAAGAAUGCCGGGGCUACCUAUCAGCGGCUGGUGAACAAAAUUUUCAAGGAACAAAUCGGGCGCACCAUGGAGGUGUAUAUAGAUGAUAUGAUCACCAAAUCGAUGCAUGCGGGGGAACACUUGGAGCAUCUCAGAGAUACCUUUACCGUUUUGAGAAAACAUCAUAUGCGGCUUAACCCUGAAAAAUGUGCGUUCGGGGUCACCUCGGGAAAAUUUCUUGGGUUCAUAGUACAACAGCGGGGGAUUGAAGCCAACCCGGAUAAAAUUCGCGCGGUUCUUGACAUGAAAUCGCCAAGCACCAUCAAGGAGGUUCAAAGCUUGGCGGGCCGAGUAGCUGCUCUGAGCCGCUUAAUCUCUAAGGCUACUGACCGGUGUAAGCCUUUUUUCAAAGCUUUGAAGACUGGCAAGAAGCUCCAAUGGACACCCGAUUGCGAAGAGGCUUUCCAAAAACUGAAGGGGUACCUCGUGAAUGCUCCACUACUUGCCAAACCUGAGCCGGGACAGGUGCUUUUGUUGUAUCUCGCCGUAUCUGAGCAUGCCACCAGCUUUGUGUUACUCUGAGAGGAUGAUAAUGGGGUACAACGACCUAUUUACUACACUAGUAAGGCUAUGGUUGAUGCCGAAAAGAGGUACCCCACCUCUGAGAAGAUCAUUUUGGCAUUGGUGGUCUCCGCACGGAAGCUCAGACCAUAUUUUCAGGCUCACACCAUUGAGGUCGUCACCAACCUUCCCCUUCAGCAAAUCCUCCAGAAGUUAGACAUGUCCGGAAGGCUUCUCCGAUGGUCCCUCGAAUUAAGCGAGUUUGACAUCAUCUUCAAGCCUCGUUUGGCGAUUAAAGCACAGGCCAUCGCUGAUUUUAUUGCGGAAUUCGCCAAUGACUCAAGUGGUGAAGGUGACUUGAGAUACCUGUUAGAUACCCCACCCACCGAUGAAGGGGGGCAGGUCUGGGAAAUAUAUGUAGACGGUUCCUCUAACUCACACAGAAGUGGUGCAGGAGUUAUUAUAAUCGACCCGAAUAAGGUGAAAAUAUGUUACGCCUUGCAAUUUGGAUUCAAGGCUUCAAACAACGAAGCCGAAUACGAGGCCAUCAUAGCGGGGUUGAGAAUGUCGAAGGCUUUGGGAGCAAAAAGGGUACACGUCAAGAGUGACUCCCAGUUGGUGGUAAGCCAAAUUACCGCACAAUAUCAAGCGAAAGAGGAAAACAUGAAAGGGUACCUCAGGAAAACCAGAGAGUUGAUGUCCCAAUUUUGUGAGGUUAAAGUGGAAAGGGUACCCCGACUGGAGAAUAGCGAAGCCGACACCCUGGUGAAAAUGGCAUCCCUUGGGGUAGCCCAGUCAUCUGGCCCCAUUACAACAGAACACAUACCCGCACCCAGUGUUGGUCUCUCAGAGCCAUUGGAAGUAGGAUCGUUGUCCAACGAGCUGCUUUGGAUGGAGCCUAUCAUAAGGUACCUCAAGGACGGAGACCUUCCCUUAGAUAAAAGUGAAGCAAGAAGAUUAAAGUACAAAGCCGCGCGGUAUUGCCUGAUCCAGGGUACCCUAUACAGAAGAGGGUUCACUCUUCCUUACCUUAGAUGCUUGGGAAGCGACGAGGCCAAGUAUGUCAUGAGGGAGAUACAUGAGGGGAUUUGUGGCAAUCACUAUAGAGCACAAUCACUGACGCAAAAAGCUCUCUGUCAGGGGUACUAUUGGCCAACCAUGUGGGAGGAUGCCAAGAAUAUGGUACAAAGCUGUGACAAAUGCUAGAGGUUCGCUAGGGUACCCCACCUACCCCUAAAGAAGCUAACAGUUAUAUCUUCCCCUUGGCUCUUCGCUAUGUGGGGAGUGGACCUCAUUGGCCCAUUACCUACCGGGAAGGGGCAAGCGAAAUAUGCAAUUGUGGCGGUAGAUUAUUUUACAAAAUGAACGGAAGCGGAGCCAUUAACAAGCAUCACAGAAAGGAAAACCACGGAAUUCAUUUGGAAGAACCUCAUUUGCAGAUUUGGGAUCCCAUAUGCAAUUGUCAGUGAUAACGGCAAGCAAUUCGAUAAUGAAAGAUUUCGAAGCUUUUGUUCGGAGUUGGGGAUAGCUAACCGAUUUGCUACACCUGCCCAUCCCCAAUCCAAUGGACAAGUCGAAGCCGUUAACAAGAUUAUCAAAGGUAUCCUUAAGAAGAAGCUAGAAGAAAGAAAAGGAGCAUGGGUAGACGAGCUACCUGGGGUACUGUGGGCGUACCGGACUACUCAAAACACCUCCACUAGGGAGACCCCAUUUUCCCUCGCAUUCGGUGUUAAUGCAGUGAUUCUAGCGGAAAUCGGGGUACCCUCUCACAGGGUUGAAUACUUUGAUGAGACCGAGAACAUCUCCUUGGUUGCUUCAAACCUUGAUUUGGUGGCUGAAAAAAGGGAUAGAGCGGAACUGAAGACAGCCAUAUAUCAGCAUCGCAUUUCAGGUCUAUAUGAAAAAAGGGUACGCCCUCGAUCCUUCAAGAAAUGAGACUUGGUCUUGAGAAGGGUAACUCAGAACACUAGGGUACCCUGCGAAGGUGCUUUUGGGGCAAAUUGGGAAGGACCUUACCGCAUCGACAAACCCGUUGGGACAGGUGCAUACAGGCUACUCCACAUGGAUGGCACAAUUGUGAGGCACCCCUGGAACGCUGCAAUGCUACGGAAAUAUUACUAAAGGACAGUGUCUCAACCUUUAGUCUUUUGCUGUUAUUUGCUUUCUUUAAUGUUUUUGUGUGGUAAGCCAAAUGGGGUACCCCAAAUGCCCUAUGUUGGUCAGUUGCAACUUUAGAGUUUCUUUAAUUGUCAAAUGAAAGGGAUAGGGGGUCUUGCGGUAUCUCAUUCUCCUCAGGAUAACAAAGCUAAGUCAUGUAUUGAUCAACGCUUUCGUUAUCUAUAAAUGCAUGUUCUUUCUCAACAAAUAUGGUGUGGGUUCUUUAUUUAUUUUUCUCCACUUCGAUCUUAGAGUGCGGAUUAUAUUCAUUUAUCGCCAUUAAUAUACCCUCGCAUCUGGUAAUAUGCAAUUCUCGCCAUACGUUUGUCAAUUAUGACUAACCUAUCACAUGACCAGCCAGGGUAUCUGAUAUGCCUAGAUCGUGACGAUCUAUGUAAACCCAAGAUGGGCAACAGAGAGAACAGCCCGGGGGUAGCCUUUCUGCGGAAGCAUGAUAAAGCUACCUAGACAAAGAGAGGGAGGGUCAAAGAGGGCGCAAGGGUGAAGAAAAACCGGCAUACCCUAGCGGCAUGAAGUUCGGCUUAGGUAUGAGAACACCUACACCUCUGUCCUCGUACUUUUGUAAAGUAUGGGGUAAGCUAUUCAAAAAAUUCAGAGAAAACUUCGAAAGAAUAAGAAAGUGAUUGGUUGGACCAAUUGCGCUUUCAACGUUUGAUCGAGAUGUCGCGAUGAUAUUUUGAUUGCCUAUUUGUGGGGAAUCCGCCAUAGUUUCCGAGAAGGACAUGCACCACAUUUUUCGGAAAUCCGCCUGAUGUUGGAUAUUUGUCAAGGUACCAGGGGUACCCCAUUUCAAAAAAAAAAUGAGAAGUACCCUAGACAUUUACAAGGUAACAGUUUAGUCAAGCAUUCAUUUGCAGAAUAACAAGCAUGCAAAGUACAAGAGAACUCGAUGGCAUGGUAUCAUAACAAAAGAGAAGUCCCAAUAAUACAAAAUAUCCCGAGAAACCAAAAAGAAAGAAACAAGAUCCAAAUAGCAAAAUGUGGAUAGGUCCGAAAAAACAAGAGCACAGUGAGAAGGCUACACCGAGGGGGGAACGCCAUCCCCAACAUUCGUCUCCAGAGGGCGAUCAGCAGAGGACUCCGAGGUACCCGGAAUAUGAGCAGCCAAAGUAGGGGCAUCCGAAGCAGGCAACGGCUAAAGCUGAUGGGGUACCCUAGGCGACCCGGAAGGGGUACCCGACCGUGCCUGGGAAGGCUUAUUCCUCUCUGCAAUUGUCUUCAGAAUCGUAGCCUUGUUGACAAAUUUCUGCGCCCGGGGUACCUCCAACUCCGGAUCCAUACUCCACACCUCCGUCAUGAUGAGUGAGAAUGCAUCCUCCGCCAUCGUCUUUUGCCGAGAUAGCAGAUCCCCGUUGGUGACCCUUAACUCAUCACGAUCCUUCUCCACCCGAGCUUUCUCUUCCGACAGGCCAGCAACGCGUUCUUGCAAAGUUUUAACUUCUCAGGCAAGCUGAUCCUCACGAGAUUGAUGGCUUUAAAGCUCACUCCUUAACUUAUCGACCUCUAACUAAGCGGCAACAAGGGAGUCAAGGUCUGGAAGGCAGUGGCUAAGAAGGAAGGAUGCCUGCGGGUCAUAAAAGACAUAUUAAAUAUAUGUGUAUGUCAAUUGGAUUAAAUAAGUAAAAAAUAAAGGGUACACCCGGGGUACCCCGGGAAAGCCUACCUCUUGGGUAGCCCUAAGUGCUUGACCAUAGCGUUGACUCAAACUCAUCUUGUCUGUCUCUUUAGCGACCUCGGAGGUAACAUUUUCGGCCGAGUAGUAAAAACAGCGAGCCAAGUGCGAAACCUCUUUAUUGGAAGCCGGGUCUAGGUCACCUUCGCGCAACUCUUCGGGGAAAGCGGAAAUUAGCCCGAAUUUUCUUUUCCUCGAGCGAGGAGUACCCUUUGACCCGCUGUGGGAGGUACCCUGAGAUUUCCCCUUUGGUCCGGGAACUCGAGGUGGCCGGGAGCCUUUCUGGGGUAUCGCCGAAUCCUGAGAUCCGGAAGCACCGCCUACUACAGCUUGGAAAAAGGCGUCAAAAGCAUCACCGGCUGAUUCCAUAACUACACCCACUGCACAAAAGUUAUGUUAACCGGACCAGUACUAAGUACUACAAAAGCAAAAAUGAGAAAUGAAAAGCGGGGAAGCAAAGUAAAUAAUGUGGCGAUAACGGGGUACCCCAGUCCCGUAGAUAAUAAUAGGGUACCCCUUGACACCUGAGUCAUACAUGAGUCACCCCCAGGAGCAGGUGUAAGACUUCGGUCAAUCAGCCCCGCUCUCCAUAAUCGGCUCUCCUCCAGCACAUCACUACCCUCAUGUACACCUCGAAGCCUACCCACAAACUUUUUCACCUCUCUUCCCACCUCCUGAACUGGGCAUGACCCCUUAGCCCAUGUCACACCUGCAAAAGAAUGAAAAACCCAAGGUUAGUGAGACAUUCAUGUAAAAGAUUACGAUAAAUAAUCGUAAGUAAGAGAGAUACUUACAGUCUACAUUGAAGGAAUGGAGAACCUCCACGGGGUUGCCCUUUUCACUCAGAGUCUCUGUCCCCCACCUACCAUCAGCGACAAACCAUCCCUUUCGGUAACCAUUCUUCAAGGCGGGGUUCCCCUCAACGAUGUGGCCAUGAUCACCCUAGGGGGGGAAGUAAGAAAUGCCGGGACCCUUAGGCUUCUUAAAUUGAUAAAGGCCCCUCAACUCUUGAACAGAAAUGUCGCGCUUCACGACCUCCAAUCAUAACACAUGUAAGCCCGUCAGUGUCCUCUAUCCUGGAAGGGACAGCUGCCUAGGAGCUACCCCCAAAUAACUAAACAUUUUCAUAAAGAAUGGUUUGAGGGGCAGGCGGAGUCCUAAAUUGAAGAGGUUGAUAUGGAGAGCAAUCCCAUCAGACUUUGGACACUCGGGUCGCUCAUCCACAUGGGGUACCCUAAGCUGGACAGACGGAGGAAUAUUGUAUUUGGCUCUAAUUUAUUCUAAGUCCCCCAAAGUAACCCUCCUAAUGCCUAGGGAAAAAGGGUUGCUAGAUUUUGAAGGUGUGGCACGGGGAGAUUUAGGCGGCUGGUCCGAGGAACGAGCUGGAACCUUAGGCUUGGUUGACUUACCCUUCUUUCGAGGAUGGGGGGUAGGCCGUUUACUAGGAAAGCGUGGGCUGACACGAGGGGUACUCCUAGGAGGAGGGGGCUCAGAAUGAGAAUUACAACUCUUUGAGGAACUAGGAGGGGACCGAUCCCCCUCGCUAAUGGAGAUGUGGGAAGGGGAACCCGCAGGAGGGCUGUCAACCCUACUAGCCCCAACUUUAUGUCGCUUCCUCACGGGUCCCGUGUGUUUCUUACCCAUCUACUUUCCCCCAACAAUACACCCAAUGAUACACAAAAAUAAAAUUUUCUCAGAGUAUGCAAAAUAGCGCCACUGUGAAUGCGCCAAAGGAGGAGAAGCGAGGAGGGAUACCUGUGAUUCACCAAUUCAGCAGAUCGGGAUUGAUAAUCGCGGCGAAAUGAAGCUGCAGGCAACCAAAAAUAGUGGGUAAAAAUAUGCAAGUAUAAAAAUAAAAAUAAGCUUAAAUAUAUAUAGUUAUUUAUAAAUAAAUGAAUAAAUAAAAUGAAGAACGAAGAAGCUGUAGCAACCGGCGUAGGCUGUCAUGGCUGCAACCACCGAGAAUCGAUGCCGAAGAUCACGAGAAGGAUGCCGGAAACCACCAAAGGAGGACGCCGGCCCAAAAAAAAAACAGAAAAAAGAAGAGAAAACCCGAGAAGCUGUAUCCACCAAGAAGAACCGGCUGCCAUGACUGCAGCCACACCAAACCGACGCCAGAAAUCUCCAAGAAAAACGCCGGCCGAAACAAGAAAGAAGAAAAUGAGAGAAGAAAAUGAGAAAGAAGAAAGAGAAAGCGAGAUAAAAUGAAGACUCAAGGAGGGAGGUUUACCGUGUGUAUCACCGGACCGAGAUCUCGCCGUGAGCCACCGAAAAAUCGCCUUGAACCGACCAGAUCUGGAGCCCAAAACCGCCACUGCAGCAGCCGAGAUCCACGCCGGAAAAUGCACCAGAUCAACGCCGACUGAGAGAGAAAGAGAAAGAAGAAAGAAGAAAGAAAGAAAAGGAAGAAAGAAGAAAGGGAAAGAAGAAAGGGAAAGAAGAGAAAACGGGAAAGAAAGAAAACGGAAGGAGAAGGAAAUAAAAGAAAAAGAGGGAAGAAAGAAUAAAACCUAGGGGAAAACGAAAGGAAGUAAAAAAAAAAAGAGUAAAGAAAUUUUUGUUUUUACCUGUGAUAAUGUUGAUGCAGUUAAAAGAAGAGACGAAAUUAUGGAAGAAAAAGGAUACUGAAAAUAAUCAAUUUUUGGGAGUUCGUUUGGGGAUUUUCCAAAUAAAUGAGAAAAGAUUGACAUACGUCAGGAGUUUUAAAUUCAACCUGACAGAACACGUUGCCCAAGAAAGGAGUUCAGGGAUGUUUGAGUGAGAUUGGAAUUUUCAAAUAGAGAAAAUGGAGCACAAGCUGAACAAGAUGGAGCAGAAUUUGGCCGCAUACUUCGAGAGUGUGGGAUUUACCCCACCAUUUCCGCCAAGCCCAUAGACGUUAUGUGGAUCAAAGCUCACAAUUCAGGGAAGUUUCUUUUUGCCCUUAAACUUUUAUCCUUACGCUUUAAUUUUUAUGUGAGCUUUGAUUAUCUUACAUUGGGGACAAUGUAAGUUCUUGGUGUGGGGGAGGGAUUUUUGCAUUAUUGAUGUCUGGAAGUAGUAUUUUCACUCUACUCAUUUAUUUUCACUCUACUCAUCCUUAAAUGAUUUUGGAGUUAGUAUGCUUUAUAUAUUAUUAUUUUAUCUUUUCUUUUCUUUCUCACUACUUUUUUUCCCAUCUAUCUCAAAUUAUUUACAUCUAUUUUUAUUCUAUCAUACUCUUUCAUCACUCACAUUUUAUCUUUCACUUUUCAUCUUUCUCACUUCUUAUCAUUUUUACCUUUCCUUUUAUAUAUCACCCAUACCUUCUUCUCAUUCUACACCACUAUUGAUGGUUGAUUCAUUUGAAGAGUGUACAUGAUUUGAUGGCAAAUUUACCAACUUUGUCUGCUGUACCGUACAUCCGCCUUGGCCGUACAGCAGAAAACCAAAAAUAAAAUUUUCUUAGAGUAUGCAAAAUAGCGCCACUGUGAAUGCGCCAAAGGAGGAGAAGCGAGGAGGGAUACCUGUGAUUCACCAAUUCAGCAGAUCGGGAUUGAUAAUCGCGGCGAAAUGAAGCUGCAGGCAACCAAAAAUAGUGGGUAAAAAUAUGCAAGUAUAAAAAUAAAAAUAAGCUUAAAUAUAUAUAGUUAUUUAUAAAUAAAUGAAUAAAUAAAAUGAAGAACGAAGAAGCUGUAGCAACCG
rnacentral:lncRNA from 1 species